rnacentral:rRNA from 1 species
AAACUAGGAUUAGAUACCCUUUUAUUUAUUAUUAAAAUUUUUUAUUUAAUAAAUAUUUUUUAAUAAAAAAAUUAAUUAAAAUGGCAGUAUAUUAUAAAAUUAGAGGAUUUUGUUAUAUAAUAGAUAUUACACUUUAAAAUUUAUUUAAUUUUUUUUGUUAUAUAUUGUAUAUUGUUGUAUUAAACUGACAUUUUAAAAAUUAUUAGUAUUUUUUUUAAAAAAAAUAAAUUCAAAUCAACAUACAUACCAUAAUUAAAAUUUAAAUGAAAUACAAUUAAAUUUAUUAAUGAAUAAUAAAUUGUAAAAUUUAUUUAAAAUUGGAUUUAAUAGUAAAAAUUUAAUAAAUUUUUUAUUUGAAUUAAAUUAAUAUAUGUACAUAUUGCCCGUCGUUUUUAAUU